AUUGAACGCUGGCGGCAGGCUUAACACAUGCAAGUCGAGCGGAGAUGAGGUGCUUGCACCUUAUCUUAGCGGCGGACGGGUGAGUAAUGCUUAGGAAUCUGCCUAUUAGUGGGGGACAACAUUCCGAAAGGAAUGCUAAUACCGCAUACGUCCUACGGGAGAAAGCAGGGGAUCUUCGGACCCUGCGCUAAUAGAUGAGCCUAAGUCGGAUUAGCUAGUUGGUGGGGUAAAGGCCUACCAAGGCGACGAUCUGUAGCGGGUCUGAGAGGAUGAUCCGCCACAGUGGGACUGAGACACGGCCCAGACUCCUACGGGAGGCAGCAGUGGGGAAUAUUGGACAAUGGGGGGAACCCUGAUCCAGCCAUGCCGCGUGUGUGAAGAAGGCCUUAUGGUUGUAAAGCACUUUAAGCGAGGAGGAGGCUACUGAGACUAAUACUCUUGGAUAGUGGACGUUACUCGCAGAAUAAGCACCGGCUAACUCUGUGCCAGCAGCCGCCGUAA
rnacentral:rRNA from 1 species